rnacentral:rRNA from 1 species
AUGCAUGUUUAAGCAGAAGCCGCACAACGGUAAAGCCGCGAAUGGCUCAUUACAACAGCCGUCGUUUCUUGGAUCUCUAAUUUUACUUGGAUAACUGUGGUAAUUCUAGAGCUAAUACACGCACUAAAGCUCUGACCUUACGGAACGAGCGCAUUUAUUAGAACAAAACCAAUCGGGUUUCGGCCCGUUCGUUGGUGACUCUGAAUAACUCUGCCGAUCGCACGGUCUCGUACCGGCGACGUAUCUUUCAAGUGUCUGCCUUAUCAACUUUCGAUGGUAGUUUAUGUGCCUACCAUGGUUGUAACGGGUAACGGAGAAUAAGGGUUCGACUCCGGAGAGGGAGCCUGAGAAACGGCUACCACAUCCAAGGAAGGCAGCAGGCGCGCAAAUUACCCACUCUCGGCACGAGGAGGUAGUGACGAAAAAUAACGAGACGGAUCUCUUUGAGGCCCGUUAUCGGAAUGAGAACAAUUCAAAUCCUUUAACGAGGAUCUAGCGGAGGGCAAGUCUGGUGCCAGCAGCCGCGGUAAUUCCAGCUCCGCAGGUGUAUAUCUAUGCUGCUGCGGUUAAAAAGCUCGUAGUUGGAUCUGCGUGCUCGGAACCGGUUGGCUCACUGAGUUCAAACUGGUCUCCGGCGCUUUAUUGGCUGGUUUUCCCUUGAUGCUCUUAACCGGGUGUCUUGGGUGGCUAGCACGUUUACUUUGAAAAAAUUAGAGUGCUCAAUACAGGCGCAAAGCCUUGAAUAGUGGUGCAUGGAAUAAUAGAAUAGGACCUCGGCUCUAUUUUGUUGGUUUUCGGAACGCGAGGUAAUGAUUAAGAGGGACAGACGGGGGCAUUCGUAUUGCGACGUUAGAGGUGAAAUUCUUGGAUCGUCGCAAGACGGACGACUGCGAAAGCAUUUGCCAAGAAUGUUUUCAUUAAUCAAGAACGAAAGUUAGAG